rnacentral:rRNA from 1 species
UAGGGAAUAUUGGACAAUGGGGGCAACCCUGAUCCAGCCAUGCCGCGUGAGUGAAGAAGGCCCUCGGGUUGUAAAGCUCUUUUGUCCGGAAAGAAAAGCUUCGGGUUAAUACCCCGGGGUUCUGACGGUACCGGAAGAAUAAGCACCGGCUAACUUCGUGCCAGCAGCCGCGGUAAUACGAAGGGUGCAAGCGUUACUCGGAAUUACUGGGCGUAAAGCGUGCGUAGGUGGUUGUUUAAGUCUGAUGUGAAAGCCCUGGGCUCAACCUGGGAAUGGCGUUGGAAACUGGGCAGCUUGAGUGCGGUAGAGGGUAGUGGAAUUCCCGGUGUAGCAGGGAAAUGCGUAGAGAUCGGGAGGAACAUCUGUGGCGAAGGCGACUGCCUGGACCAGCACUGACACUGAGGCACGAAAGCGUGGGGAGCAAACA